GUGAACCAGCGGAGGGAUCAUUACUGAGUUUACGCUCUACAACCCUUUGUGAACAUACCUACAACUGUUGCUUCGGCGGGUAGGGUCUCCGCGACCCUCCCGGCCUCCCGCCUCCGGGCGGGUCGGCGCCCGCCGGAGGAUAACCAAACUCUGAUUUAACGACGUUUCUUCUGAGUGGUACAAGCAAAUAAUCAAAACUUUUAACAACGGAUCUCUUGGUUCUGGCAUCGAUGAAGAACGCAGCGAAAUGCGAUAAGUAAUGUGAAUUGCAGAAUUCAGUGAAUCAUCGAAUCUUUGAACGCACAUUGCGCCCGCCAGCAUUCUGGCGGGCAUGCCUGUUCGAGCGUCAUUUCAACCCUCAAGCUCUGCUUGGUGUUGGGGCCCUACAGCCGAUGUAGGCCCUCAAAGGUAGUGGCGGACCCUCCCGGAGCCUCCUUUGCGUAGUAACUUUACGUCUCGCACUGGGAUCCGGAGGGACUCUUGCCGUAAAACCCCCCAAUUUUCCAAAGGUUGACCUCGGAUCAGGUAGGAAUACCCGCUGAA
rnacentral:rRNA from 1 species